AUUUUUUUCAAAUCCUUGAGAUAUAACAGGAUUAAUUAUAAAUGCACAUUUAGCUGAUGCAAAUUAAAUCAACAGUCUAAAAAAUUCAGGAUUAAGGUGCUGUUAUCCUUCUUUUCCAAAAAAAAGAGAAAAAAAAUACAGAAUUGCUUUUAUCUUAGUUUCUUUUUGUGCGAGGCAAUUGAUCUAGCCUUCAGCCAUCAACAUUACACAAAAUAGAUCAAAUUACAAUCAGG
rnacentral:lncRNA from 1 species